rnacentral:lncRNA from 1 species
CGGCUAUCGCUCCAAAGUGAUAGCGCCAUCGAAAGAUAGAGUGUCAAACAGUCAAACUUCGAUACCUAAAUUCAUUCAUCCAAAGGCUUUUCCAUUCCCUGAUCCGUGCCUCCUUGCUUUAACUAAGACUUUUUGAAUAGUGGCUUGGCUGGCUUUCGAGUUGGGAAAGAUAAGAAGAGCUUGACCGAUCCAUUCUGAAGGGAAGAAGCACACUGCUUAAGAUAUAAAGCGCAGUGCAGCCACCCCGACUUCCGUCCUAUCCUAAUAACAGACCUGGAUAACAGGUAAGCUCCAAUACAUAGUUCCUUGGUUAGACUGUCAGUGAUAAUGAGAAGAACCUUCUUCAGAUAACCUCCUCGAGGAACUUUUGGCAUCACUACCUCAUGGCAAGCUUACUGAGUAUCCACCACAUCCCUUUCCAAAGAUUCAUUCUGAUUGGUUUUUGCCAUGAACUCUCUUGGCAAAGUCAGGAUCAUCUUGCAAUCCACCUUAUCCGGUAAGUUACCUAACAGAACUUGAAACUUUGGCUCAUUUUCUUUAUUCUUUAACCUGGGUCUGACUGCUUGACUCACCAACCUUCAAGUCUUCCUCCAUCAGGUCAUCUUCCGGAACCAAGCCUUCUGAAAGAAAGCUCAUCAGAAAACUCCGUUGACGAGGCCUGUCCCUUCUCCAGCUUCUUGUGGUCUUUCCCAGCCUUACCUUCUGCUGGGUACUUUACCAUCAGACCAACAUUCUGUUUCUUCUCUGCUUCAGUCUGUAUUUUCAAUUCCAUUACCUUCUUCCUCAGCAUCCUCCUUUUCUGGGUCCUUGUCAGCUUAGAUGAUUUCUGUUAUGCUGGACUCUCUCCUACAGCCUCCUUCUCAGGUCUCGGUUUCUGUGCGGCAUGAACCCACUGAUCAGUUGGUGGGACAGUAGACGGUGUUUGAAAUAACCAUUGUUUAUUCAAUCGAAAUCUCAUAAGAGAAGAAAGCUUUUAACGUGGGUCGGCGUAUAGCCCACUCCAUUCUAUCUAUGACGCAUCGGAUCAACUGAGAGAAAUCCUGAGUAACGAGAGAGAUUCUCCACACGAACGAACGACCCGCCAAGUUCGAACUGACAUAGGUGAAUCGGACCAACACCUAUCAACCACCAACAAGGAGUCGCUUUGGUUACGCAGUUUGGUUAGCAGGCAGGCCGCUUAUUACUAUUAUACAUUCCCUUUUCUUGCAGGUAAUCAUAAUGUGUUAUUAGGUAUUUUAUAGUAUAUGAUAAAUAUAUCUUGUUAGGUGUUAAUUCUUUAUAUAGUAAGACUCAUAUGAUAUUAGGUAUUUAUAUUCCACUUCAUCAGUGCGGAUACGCUUUGAACAAGAAAAAGUAUACGAUACGAGCGAGAAGAAAGAGAGUGAAUUAGAUAGAGUUACCUACAGAAAGUCAGACAAAGGAUGAGAAGGAAUGGGUAAAAAAGCUUCCUGGCUAAGAAAGAUAAAAGCAGAAGAACAAGUGAUAAGGGCAUUAGGGAUAUAUAGUUAACAUAUCAUGCUUGGAAGCUGCUACCACUAAGACUGAUUAUGAACCUUAGAUCAAGUAUAUGAUAAUAUUUAUUGUUAGGUAUUAAUUUUAUAUGAUAAGUAUCAUAUGAUAUGAGUUAUUAGGUAUUUUAUAGUAUAGGAUAAUAUAUGUUGUUAGGUAUUUAUUCUAUAUGGUAAGUAUCAUAUAUUAUGAAAAAUAAUACCUAUUAUCAUCAAGAUAUAUAUAUUUAUUAUUAACGAUAUCAGGAACCCUCUAAAUCCUCUACAGCAUCAUACCAAGAUACGCUAGAUCUCCAGCACUCUAACAUGAUUCCUAAACCACCUACCCCUCCAACCGUAACAAAUAUACACUACUACAUAUAUAAAUACUCUCUCUAAAGGAUGGAUUAAAUAUAAUGUUCAUUUUUUAAGGAUUCUCACUUCUCUCUAAAGGGUGGAUGAUACACUAUGUUCAUUUUAAAGAUUCUAGAGAAUUUCUUUAUCAAACUCAUUUUCUAAGAGAUAUAGAGAUAUUGUAGUAUACUACUAGGGAUAACUUGUGCUCUUAUUCUUCUGUCAAAAGUAGGGAAGAGCAAGUGUCUGAUCAGAUCAAUCAAGCGAUAGGGGCAGAGACUUUACUUCGCUAGGACGGAGUUGCUGUCGAUUGAGGAUUGGCCGAGGGCCCUUUUUUCUUUUAUAAGGGAAGAGAUUGUAGCUGGGUACAAAUAGGCCGGUGAAAGACGAGUAGGCAAGCACGCGGGUUGUACCGGUCAGCUUUGAGCUGUCGAGUGACGAUUGGCCGAGGGGACUUCCAUCAUGUAGCUGGGUACAAAUAAGCCAGUUAAAGACGAGUAGGCAGGGCGUUAGGCUAGUGCCAGUGGGGUACGUAAACGAGGACAGAUCACAUGGUUUUGUACUGGUCAGUUUUGAGCUGUCGAGUGACGAUUGCUCCAUCUCUUAAGAAAGGACGCGGGGGGCCUGUCUUAUAAUAAAGGGGGUACUCUCUUCUCUGAUGUGCGCUAUAUUAUUGUGUCCUAUUCCUUAAGGAGUGAUCCGGGAUUAAGCCACGUGGCGAUACCCGCCAAAAGAAAGGGGGCCUUGAGUACUCAAAUGCGUACGAGGAAAGGACAAUUAUUCAGCGCACUUAAAUCUAGUGGAUGGGGUUCCAUAUUCAUGAAAAGCCAGGUUUGAACCAUGUUACGGAACCAAGACAACCUAUCUUACUAAUAAUAAGAAAGGGUUAAGGGCCUCCAACGCCUAUAAAUAGAAGCUUCUUUCUCUAUUUGGCAAAGCAAAGGGAGAUAUGGAUCCAGCUACCACUGAAAGACUUUCUCAAAUUAAUCAAAGAAUUCUAAAUGUUGAAAAUGAAAGGCGCGAACGUCAGCAAACGCUUCAUGCUUUUUUAGAGCAUGUGCCUGCUGUUUUUCCGGAGCUGGUGGAACAACGCAUUCAACAGCUCCUUAACCAAAUUCAAACCCUGGAAGAAGAGGGGAGGACCCUUUCCCGAGACAGGGAAGACCUUAUUGUUAGGAUGGCCUUCCGCAUCCGCGGCGGAAACAACUAAGAGUCAGUCGACUCUUUGGAGUUUAAGAAGGUUUAAAUAAGUGUCUGUAGACGCAAAGUAGUGUGUUUCUUCUUUUUCUUUGUUUAGUGGAGAUCUACUCCUAUGCUCAGUGUCUUUGUUGUGUUUGCAUGUAUCACUAGUAGUCUUCAAUGCUUCCGUUGUUCACUUUGUAAUGUUGUGUUUAGUUGUGUGGCUGGUCUAUGUGUGUGUAAGCUUCCUAUUUGAUGUAUUCCCAUGUAACGGCUAUUAAUGAAAAAAAUCCGCUUUGUUCUAGUUCAUUCUCUUUCCCUGUUUUGUGCAGAAAAAUUGUUGAUUUGAAUUCUUUUUGAAAUCUCGUUUUUUUCUUGUAAAUUUCUCACAUAUACAAGCUCAAACUACAGCCAAGAGGGUGGAAGUUGUGUGUUUACAGUCACUCUCCUAUAUCCUAUAAUAGCAUAAGCAUAGCAGAAAGCUUCCAUGCCUCGCUAUCCUAUCUUUAAAACCGACACCGAAGGAGUUGAACGUAGUGAAAAGAGUCGUUUCUUUGAUGAAAGACGCCACAAAGCUAGUAUAGUUAUCGCACACCUGAUCUUCUUUCUGAUAGGAAUGAUCACCUUCUAAACAAAAUAGGAGUGAGAAUUCCCCAACGAACGGAAUAAAUGAGUGAACAAGCACCGAAAGGUGUGCGUUAGUGAAACGAAUAGCUCAGUCCUAGCGGACAGGACAAAACUUCCCUUGGAGAAAGCCAGCCUGAGGGAACUGGAUUGGUCAUUCCACCAUCACUCGAUUAUAGAGGGUUGGAGCCCUCUCUCUGAAAGCCCUCUUGAUGCGAUGAGAAAAUGGCUAGUAUUCAAGGCUAGUCCCAAGAAAGCAAGCUAAAGGGCUAUCCCGAUAAGAAGAUGAAGCCUGAUCGGGCCAAAAAUGAAAGCAAUCGAAGGAAGGGGUAGAGCAUGUUCUAUUUUUCCGAAUCUUUCAAGAUGAAAAUAGAGGGAUUGGCUUAACUUCCUCUAUGCGGUUGCAUACAGCUUUGCUUGAGUAAGGAGUAGGCCAUUCCAGAUAGGCUGCUUUUGCUAUUACUGAAGCUUUUAAGAAAAAGACCUUUCCUUUAUGAUAUUAAGCUUUAUGAUAUUAAGGAUUUUUCCAAUCAUUAGAGUGGUGUCAUCCCCUUUCAUUCAUGUCUGAUGGAUAAAAGCCCUUGGGCCUUCGUUCAUUUUGUUUAAGAAGGCUGCGACAUAUACAGCAUCUUUCCAUAGACUUUUUCUUGCCUGGAUGAAAAUUCAAUAUAUGAAUAGUCAUUCCCUCACAAAUUCUUUAUUUGAAUAUCUUUGCUUUGUUCGUUCUACAGAUAUAGAUUAAACUGCCUUUCUUGGCACCAUCCCUAUUCUGAUGGCUCAGUACAAGACCGACGGAAGAGAAGAGGUGAAAAGGCUAGCGAGGCAGAAUUCUUUUUCUCUUUCAUAGCGCCGCACAAUGGAGACAUUGUAGUGCUAGACCAGAUUUACCAGCGGACAGUUGAAAAACGAUACGACCCAGGACCAAUUCUGGUUCUUCUUUCUAUCAAAAUAAAUCGAAUUCGAAAGAGCGGGGUCUUACUUAUUCAGGGGGGAUGAAAGACAAAUAAAGGGAUCAGGGGGCUUUAUGAUCGGAGAAAGAGAAGGGGCGUGGUUGGUGUGUCACUGGGUCGGUGGGGGAACCCGUAGGAAGGGGGGACGACCCGCCGAAUUCACAUCAGAAAUCGCCAACAUGAACACAAACGAAAUCUUGAAUUGCGUAUAGAAAGAAAACGAACCACUUCUAUUCUCGGAGCUGAGGUAUAUGAAGAAUGGCUUUUUGGUCCCUUUCGUCCAGUGGUUAGGACAUCGUCUUUUCAUGUCGAAGACACGGGUUCGAUUCCCGUAAGGGAUAGGUACUCAUUCCCGGCCGCUUUCAGUUAGUGUUCAUUGCUGAGUGAUCGCUCGCUAUCUGGCUGGAAAAGAUGGUCCGGAAGCUUCCUCUCUCCCAGCAAGCAAGACGAGAUCACCACUUCUCUCAGUAAUGGACUUCCUUUACUUCGUAACCUUAGCCUUAGAUGUCCUUUCAUAGAUUCUCGAACCUCCGACAGACAGAAUCUCCAUGCAUGCGUUCUUUCUCUCCUCCCCUCAGCCAUACAUCCCUUUUUUGCUUUUGGCCCUUUUUGUUAGGCAUUGAACCCCACCCCACGGAGCGGUGCUGAGUGGUGUCCUCCCCUCCCUAAUACCUAAACAGAGUUCCGUCUAUGGAGCCUAAAGCUUAAACCAUGGCAGUAAGCAGUAAGUUGGCCUAGUCUCUCGCCCAGCCUUCGCCUUCUUCAGUGGCCAAGUUGAAGCGUUCAACGUCGGCCUACCACCUUUUUUUUUCAAGGUUGAGCUUGUUCAAUUGAAGCUAAUGCUAUGCUGCCCUUCCCUUGUUCAAGAGAAAGCGAGGACUUUCUUUUAGCUACCGGCCCAAACAAAAGAGAUUAGCCUCUUGAUCGAUCGAUUGAUUGGAUCGAAGUACGAAGGGGUUGAUUGAAGUCUGAGAUCAGCCCAAGACUAAGGCCGAGCAACUAGCUGCUGCAGGAUUGGACGUCUAUCUAUCUCACCACGCUCCCCUACUCCUAUAAAGGCCGGCGGAAGGAAUGCUCUGCUCAUCUUUCUUACGGCUCGUUACCGCAGCGCUCGUUCACCCCUUCUGCUUCUUCCAUUCAAAAAAAAAAGGUAGUCUUUCCUUGGUAAAUAGCGUCUUGAAGUGAAGCGAAGGCAUUAUUGAAGGAAAGAAAUGGCGGGUCGGUCAAUUGCAUUAGGUAGGAGAUGCAGGACCUGUCUUAACCGCAAGUGCAUUCGCUAUUCGAUUCCAUCCUAAAUCCCACCAAUUCCAAAGUGUGUAUCUCUUCUUUACUUUUAAGUGACAAGGGGGGUGACAAAGGGUAUACUUUCUUCUCUAUGUCGCCGUCUCAUCAAUGAGCGUAGAUUAAUAGCCAAGCCUACCCUUUUGUGCUUGUCAAUCUGUAUCCCAUUCUUCAGGUAUAGUUUUCUUUGAUCACAGAUCGACAGGUGAUCCGUCCUUUCUCCCCCUUUCGUCAUAAGGCGUGGUCUGACUCUGAGAAAAGAAAUUCCUGUGUUUAGGUCCCUACUAAGCAGAAUUCGUAAACUAUGCAAAGGCUCUUUGAAGACUUUUUCAAAAGUUUUUAGCAAAAAAAGCAAAAACAAUUCUCAACGCCCUUACGAGGUAGUGAUGAGUUAAACUACUCGUGUUGGCAUGGAAGUCAGCCCGGUAAACUGAUUCCAUUCUGCUACUAGGGUUCCAAACCUUCCCCUGAGCUCUAGAAUCUAGAAAUACCUUUUCAACUCAAGAAAUGCUAAAGCUAUUUAGAGUUGGUAUUUCUAACUAAGUCGGAAGGAGGGCUUUGGGCAAAGAGCAACUCUCAAGUACUUUACUUCAGUCCCAGUACUGAAAGACGUGACUUCAGGAGUGGAUUUCGGAAGGAAAGACUUCGUUUACUUCCUGCAAAUUGCUUAUGUAAGAACUAGUAGAAAGAAAGGGGCGUUCCGCCACUUGACUGUAAGGAAAGGAAUUUGGAAAAAAAAAAGAAGUAAUUUCGUAUAUAAAGAUAUGGGUUUCCGGGCUUAGAUCGAAAUGGAAUCCCCGAAAACCGGGGCUGGAGUAUUAGACUUGUUCUGCUUCGAUAGAGGCACUGUAACCGUAAGUGGAAUAACAAUCAUUCGGCCGAUUGCUCUUAUCCUUCCUUCGCUGACACAGAAGAGAGAGAGCACUCCCCAAGCCAAGGAUGAGUGCCAAAGAGAAGAUGCGCAAGCUAGUCUAUCAGAAGGAGAAAGCGAGGGAGUGAGAUUUUAGGUUUCAUUAGGGUAGACUGAAGACCAAGCCAAUCUCGAAACAAAAAAGAAAACUUAUUGCAACUACGAACGUGAACAGAUGCUUUCUCAUUAGACUAUUUUAACCGAUUGUUUAUGUCGACCCUACGCUACGAUUCUUCUUCUCUUAUGAAAUUUCUAGUUAGAUGAACACUGCUCUGCUGCAUGACGGAGUGAUCUUUCCCUCUUAUGAAAGCCGGUAUCUCACUUUCGAAAGAGAGUCUCGACGUGGCGGUGUACACCUAGCUCCAUAGCUGGGCUAGUCACUGGCUAGAGGGCGACCGACCUACCGGACCGGAGGCAGCCGAGAAUGUUAUGUAAAAAGGACCAAGGAGGAUCCUAUCCUAAAGGAGAAGGAGGAGUAGGAGGAGUCAGUUUUCUUUGAAGAUCGAGGAACGUAGUGUCGGACAAUUAUGCCAUCAUGGGGAUUUCCACUUUUUUGUCUACUUCCAUCCGUAAUACUUGGAAGAAUUUUACGACUAGAAAAUAAGAUAAAAAAAAGACUUGAAAUCCUUUUAUUCCAUAUUGGAGUAGAAAUCCUUUUAUUCCAUAUUGGAAAAGUUAUCGUGGGUCUUGUUCUGGCAAAGGUCACCUUACACUU